rnacentral:rRNA from 1 species
GGUUUGAUCAUGGCUCAGAUUGAACGCUGGCGGGAUGCUUUACACAUGCAAGUCGAAAUGGCACGGACUUCGGUCUGGUGGCGAGUGGCGAACGGGUGAGUAAUGUAUCGGAACGUGCCUAAAGUAUGGGGAUAACUACGCGAAAGUUGCAUACGAGCUUCAUAUUAUCUCUUCGGGGAAAGCGGGGACCUCGGGCCUCGCACUAUUAGGAGCGGCCGAUAUCGGAUUAGCUAGUUGGUGGGGUAACGCUCACUAGUGCGACGAUCCGUAGCUGGUUUUGAGAGGACGACCAGCCACACUGGGACUGGAGACGGCCCAGACUCCUACGGGAGGCAGCAGUGGGGAAUUUUGGACAAUGGGGAAACCCUGAUCCAGCCAUCCCGCGUGUGCGAUGAAGGCCUUCGGGUUGUAAAAGCACUUUUGGCAGGAAGAGAAACGGCACGGGAUAAUACUCCGCAACUGACGGUACCUGCAAUGGGCAACCUGGCCAACUACGCACAGCAGCCGCGGUAAUACGUAGGGUGCAAGCGUUAAUCGGAAUUACUGGGCGUAAAGCGUGCGCAGGCGGUUCGAAAGAAAGAUGUGAAAUCCCAGAGCUUAACUUUGAACUGCAUUUUUAACUACCGAGCUAGAGUGUGUCAGAGGGAGGUGGAAUUCGCGUGUAGCAGUGAAAUGCGUAGAUAUGCGGAGGAACACCGAUGGCGAAGGCAGCCUCCUGGGAUAACACUGACGCUCAUGCACGAAAGCGUGGGGAGCAAACAGGAUUAGAUACCCCUGGUAGUCCACGCCCUAAACGAUGUCAACUAGCUGUUGGGGCCUUCGGGCCUUGGUAAAAAGCAGCCAAUCGCGGUGAAGUUGACCGCCUGGGGAGUACGGUCGCAAGACGAAAAACCUGCAUAAUUGACGAACCGUGCACAAGCGGUGGAUGAUGGGAUCAAUUCGAUGCAACGCGAAAAACCUACCUACCCUUGACAUGUCUGGAACUCGAAGAGAUUUGGGAGGCUCUGCAAGAGAACCGGAACACAGGUGCUGCAUGGCUGUCGUCAGCUCGUGUCGAGAUGUUGGGUUGUCCGCAACGAGCGCAACCCUUGUCAUUAGUUGCUACGAAAGGGCAUCCCCAUCGACUCUGCCAGCGACAAACCGGAGGAAGGUGGGGAUGACGUCAAGUCCUCAUAUUCUUAUGUGGUAGGCUUCACAUCGUCAUACAAUGGUCGGGACAGAGGGUCGCCAACCGCGAGGGGGAGCCAAUCCGUAGAAACCUGAUCGUAGUCCGGAUCAGUAGCUCGCAACUCGACUGCGUGAAGUCGAACUAGUAAUCGCGGACUCAAAGCAUGUCGCGGUGAAUACGUUCCCGGGUCUUGUACACACCGCCCGUCACACCAUGGGAGUGGGUUUUUACCAGAAGUAGUUAGCCUAACCGUAAGGAGGGCGACACGACGGUAGGAUUCAUGACUGGGGUGAAGUCGUAACAAGGUAA